rnacentral:rRNA from 1 species
GGGCAGCACGAGGUAGCAAUACUUUGGUGGCGACCGGCGCACGGGUGAGUAACGCGUAUGCAACCUACCCUGUACAGGGGGAUAGCCCGGAGAAAUUCGGAUUAAUACCCCAUAAUUAUAUCGAGAGGCAUCUUUUGAUAUUUAAAGUUUCGACGGUACGGGAUGGGCAUGCGUGACAUUAGCUAGUUGGUAGGGUAACGGCCUACCAAGGCUACGAUGUCUAGGGGUCCUGAGAGGGUGAUCCCCCACACUGGUACUGAGACACGGACCAGACUCCUACGGGAGGCAGCAGUGAGGAAUAUUGGUCAAUGGGCGUAAGCCUGAACCAGCCAUCCCGCGUGCAGGAAGACGGCGCUAUGCGUUGUAAACUGCUUUUCCAGGGAAAGAAAACCCCCGACGUGUCGGGGCUUGCCGGUACCCUGGGAAUAAGCAUCGGCUAACUCCGUGCCAGCAGCCGCGGUAAUACGGACCAAGCGAACGUUAUUCGGAAUUACUGGGCUUAAAGCGCGUGUAGGCGGAUGACCACGUCAGUCGUUGAAAUCCCCCGGCUCAACCGGGGAACAGGCGCUGAUACGAGUUGUCUUGAGGUGGGUAGGGGAGACUGGAACUUCCGGUGGAGCGGUGAAAUGCGUUGAGAUCGGAAGGAACGCCCGCGGCGAAAGCGAGUCUCUGGACCCAUUCUGACGCUGAGACGCGAAAGCCAGGGGAGCAAACGGGAUUAGAUACCCCGGUAGUCCUGGCUGUAAACAUUGGGCACUGGGUAGUGGAACCGCCGAUGGUUUCACUGCCGCAGGGAAACCG